CGGACGGGUGAGUAACGCGUGGGAACGUGCCCUUCUCUACGGAAUAGUCUCGGGAAACUGGGGGUAAUACCGUAUACGCCCUUUGGGGGAAAGAUUUAUCGGAGAAGGAUCGGCCCGCGUUGGAUUAGGUAGUUGGUGGGGUAACGGCCUACCAAGCCGACGAUCCAUAGCUGGUUUGAGAGGAUGAUCAGCCACACUGGGACUGAGACACGGCCCAGACUCCUACGGGAGGCAGCAGUGGGGAAUCUUAGACAAUGGGCGCAAGCCUGAUCUAGCCAUGCCGCGUGAGCGAUGAAGGCCUUAGGGUUGUAAAGCUCUUUCGUGGGGGAAGAUAAUGACUGUACCCCAAGAAGAAGCCCCGGCUAACUCCGUGCCAGCAGCCGCGGUAAUACGGAGGGGGCUAGCGUUGUUCGGAAUUACUGGGCGUAAAGCGCACGUAGGCGGACCAGAAAGUUGGGGGUGAAAUCCCGGGGCUCAACCUCGGAACUGCCUUCAAAACUCCUGGUCUUGAGUUCGAGAGAGGUGAGUGGAAUUCCGAGUGUAGAGGUGAAAUUCGUAGAUAUUCGGAGGAACACCAGUGGCGAAGGCGGCUCACUGGCUCGAUACUGACGCUG
rnacentral:rRNA from 1 species